rnacentral:rRNA from 1 species
UACGUAUGGUGCAAGCGUUAUCCGGAUUUACUGGGUGUAAAGGGAGCGCAAGCGGCACGGCAAGCCUGAUGUGAAAGCCCGCGGCCCAACCGCGGGACUGCAUUGGGAACUACCGGGCUGGAGUGCCGGAGAGGUAGGCGGAAUUCCUAGUGUAGCGGUGAAAUGCGUAGAUAUUAGGAGGAACACCAGUGGCGAAGGCGGCCUACUGGACGGUGACUGACGCUGAGGCUCGAAAGCGUGGGGAGCAAACAGG